rnacentral:lncRNA from 1 species
AGAGAGAGAAGAAGAAAUAUUUGCCAUUUUCUUGCUUUCUAUGACGUGUUCCCCUCUACAUAUAUCUUUUAACCCCUCAACAUUACACGUGUAACUAACCAACAAAUGAAUGAUUCAAAGAAAAAACAGUCACAACAAAAUAACAAAAUCACAGCUGCCAUCUUUUCCACUCUCUUUGUGUCUUCUCGAAUAUUCCUUAGGUAAUGUAAUCUUUGAGGUAUGUUGGUA